rnacentral:rRNA from 1 species
UACAGAGGGUGCAAGCGUUAAUCGGAAUUACUGGGCGUAAAGCGUGCGCAGGCGGUUUUGUAAGCCAGAUGUGAAAGCCCCGGGCUUAACCUGGGAAUGGCAUUUGGGACUGCAAGGCUUGAGUGCGGCAGAGGAGACUGGAAUUCCCGGUGUAGCAGUGAAAUGCGUAGAUAUCGGGAGGAAUACCGAUGGCGAAGGCAGGUCUCUGGGCUGACACUGACGCUCAUGCACGAAAGCGUGGGGAGCAAACAGG